rnacentral:rRNA from 1 species
AUCCUCUGCCCUAUGAAUAGUUUAAAUGGCCGCAGUACUUUGACUGUGCAAAGGUAGCAUAAUCACUUGUCUCUUAAUUGGGGGCUGGUAUGAAAGAGGCGACGAGAUUUGGGCUUUUGACCUAUAAAAUAAAAUUGACAUAAAGGUCAAAAGGCCUUUAUUAACCAAAGGGACGAUAAGACCCUAUAAAACUUUACUAUGGAAUAAGUUAUUUAGGUAGUAUUUAUAGCUAUAGUUUGGCUGGGGCGGUCUAUAUAAAAACAAUAGAAAUAUUAAUAUUAUAUAUAGAAUUUGAGAGCUCUGAUAGGAAAUGAAUAAGUUACUUUAGGGAUAACAGCAUAAUUCUCCCAGAGAGUUCUUAUUGGAGGGAGAGUUUAUGACCUCGAUGUUGAAUUGGGGUGUCUGGUGUAAGUAGAAAUAUAUUAAGAUAGUCUGUUCGACUAUUAAAUUCCC